rnacentral:lncRNA from 1 species
CUACCGUUCUGCCUCCGACCGAAAUACUAGGCUUUAGAAUUUCACCAUAUGAAUUUUGGGAGAGAGGAGCACAGUUCAGCCCAUAACUAACACACGACGGAAUGAAGUUGAUAAUAGUGAGACCUUGUUGGUACAAGACUAUGUAACAUAACCUGCGCUUCUCAACAAAGAAUUGCUUUUCUGACUUCUGCACUCAAUAGCAAGACAAAUCUCUCCUCUGCCUUCUCCUUAUCAGACUACUCAACAUGAAGGCAAUAAGAAUGAAGACCUCUAUGUAUAAUAAUUGACUUCCACUUAAUAAAUAAGGUUACUUGGUACACUGGUCGACAAAACCUUGAAAUGUUGAUGUUUAAGGGCUGUUGAUUGCUGGCAGCAAAGAAGUCCAACUGUGCUGGUACCCGAGAUAGCGUCUCCACAUUUUCUUCCAGGAUCAUCACCUUUGUUCUAAAUAGCUCCCACAUAGUGUGAACAGAAGUCAUAUGUUUUAGAUUUUCUGCCUUGGCACCCAGG